CCUACGGGAGGCAGCAGUGGGGAAUAUUGCACAAUGGGGGAAACCCUGAUGCAGCGACGCCGCGUGAGUGAAGAAGUAUCUCGGUAUUUAAAGCUCUAUCAGCAGGGAAGAAAAUGACGGUACCUGACUAAGAAGCCCCGGCUAACUACGUGCCAGCAGCCGCGGUAUUACGUAGGGGCCAAGCGUUAUCCGGAUUUACUGGGUGUAAAGGGAGCGUAGACGGGUGUGCAAGUCAGGAGUGAAAGCCCAUGGCUUAACCAUGGUACUUCUCUGGAAACUGGGGAGCUUGAGUGCGGUAGGGGCAGGCGGAAUUCCUGGUGUAGCGGUGAAAUGCGUAGAUAUUAGGAGGAACACCGGAGGCGAAGGCGGCCUGCUAGACCGUAACUGACGUUGAGGCUCGAAAGCGUGGGGAGCAAACAGGAUUAGAUACCCGAGUAGUC
rnacentral:rRNA from 1 species